CCAGGACCCUGGGGUCACGACCUGAGCCACCCCGGCGCCCCUGCAUGUUUCUUUAAAAUUAUCUUUAAUUUUAAAAAAUUAUUUUUGACAACCACACACGUCUUGGGAAGAUCUCUCGGUGCUUACGCCCCCUUGGGUGAGGGGGUGGGGCCCCGGCCUGGGCCCACACUCUUCAUCUAUUAAGUAACGGGGAGGACUUUGAGCUGGGUGGGUGCCCCCCAGUCGGGAUCCCUCAGUGUCACGUUCGCCCCGAGCACGAGCACGUGUAAGACGGCGCUUCCGGGGUCGGCCCGCGCCGCCUGCACCCCCGGCCCCCUCGGCCGCCGGUGACCCCGGUGACCCCGCGCCCCUGUCCGCAGCGGGCGCCGCGCCAUGGCUGCUCUGAGGCACAGCCGACCCCGCUGCAUCCGGGCCGCGCUCAGCUCCGGCUUCCAGAAGAGGCAGAGGAACGCCUUCCGUCGCUUCAAGGUGAAGGGGCCCGCGCCCCCUUGGGGUCUGCUGUCCUGCUUCUCGGCGACACCGGCACGGCCCCCCCAACACCACAUGUGUUCAAACCCCUGUCUUUUGAUCGAGGAAGAGAACAAGGGCUGCUUUCUCCCCAGCAGCCUGGAGGGUUCUAGAAUAUCUGAUACCAGCCCCGGGGGCUCUGAGGGGCCCGAGCCAGGCCUGGCCGCUGUCUGGGCCUCGCUGCCUGUGCAGGGGAAGGGGUGAGGACAGGUGAUCUAGUAUCUUCCAUGCUCCUCUGGCUCGGGGUCGAGAGCGAGCGCCGGGUUCUCCGCCCCGGUGUGACGGGAUCACGUCCGGCUGCCGAAUCUGCCUUCUUGCCGCGGCCUGGUUCUGCCUUUCCUGUUCCCGGCCCUGCUCCUUCUCGCCCACGCCGGGGGCUGCCGUCCUCCGGGUGUCCCCGCGGAGGGAACUGUGAGAGUGGCUUCCCCGGGUCCCUUGCCCUUGGACACUGGGCUGCUGCCGCCUGCCCUCACGCAAGGGAUUAUUCAGCCUUUUUUCUUUUGACUUCCCCAGGCCAACCACAGAAAGAAUCACAUGGACUUAAUCGAAGGUAUCUGGAGAGAGUUUUUAGAUCCUUACGAUGGCGAUUCGGACGAUCCCCCCCGUCAUCCCGCCUCCGGCUUCAGCGACUGUCCUCGGGGGGCCGUGAGCCGUCCGGGGUCUCCGCGCGCACUCAGGAGCGGGGGCCCCGGAGGAACCAGCUCGGAGGAGCCCCCCGCGUCGAAGCCCCCAGGCCGCCCGAGCCGGGGCCCCGCGCCCCUGGAGGCCGACGACGUGGACAUGCAGCCCGCGGAGGCCGGCAGCCCCCAGGCCCGGGGGCGGGCGGCCAGGCGCUCGGGGGUCCCCGGACGAGGACUGCGGGAUGUGGGAGGACCGCUGGCCCCGGGCGCCCGGCCCCCUCCUCCCCGCCGCGGGGCCCCCCGAGCCUGGCAGACACGCGCAGGGCCGCGGCAGAGCGGCCCGGCCACCCCCCAGGCUCGGCAGCGAGAAGGACAAGGGGCCCAAGCUCACCCUCUCCAAGAGGAAACUGGAACUUUUACUUGCGGAGCCUGAGAAAACGAAGAGAAAGAGGCAGUAUGUGGCCCAGAGCGAGGUGAGCAGGGGGAGCCGGAGGGGCGCCCACGCCCCGGGGAGCCCUCGGCCAGGAGUCCGGGGGCUUCGGUUCUCAUGAAGCACCUGCGCGUUUUAGGCCUUAGAUACGAACACUGGGUGCCCCCACUUUGCUUACAGAUGGGUUUCCAACUGAGGACAGCCCUGUGUGGCCCUCGUGGGACCCACCUCUAAAUCCGAGAAUUCCCUUACUUUUACUAAGUAUUUAUGUAUCCGCAGAACUAGUGGUUUUCACACCCUGACUCCUGCUGCCCCUUGUUCUUGACCCUGAAUGUCUGCUGGGCUGGGGGUGGGGGGUGUCCCGCUCUGGGGGUGCUGACACAUGGAGGCCUGUAAGAAUAUUUAGGACACGGGGACGCCUGGGUGGCUCAGGGGUUUGGCAUCUGCCUU
rnacentral:lncRNA from 1 species